GAACGCUGGCGGCGUGCCUAAUACAUGCAAGUCGAGCGAACAGACGAGGAGCUUGCUCCUCUGACGUUAGCGGCGGACGGGUGAGUAACAUGUGGAUAACCUACCUAUAAGACUGGGAUAACUUCGGGAAACCGGAGCUAAUACCGGAUAAUAUAAUGAACCGCAUGGUUCAAUAGUGAAAGACGGUUUUGCUGUCACUUAUAGAUGGAUCCGCGCCGCAUUAGCUAGUUGGUAAGGUAACGGCUUACCAAGGCAACGAUGCGUAGCCGACCUGAGAGGGUGAUCGGCCACACUGGAACUGAGACACGGUCCAGACUCCUACGGGAGGCAGCAGUAGGGAAUCUUCCGCAAUGGGCGAAAGCCUGACGGAGCAACGCCGCGUGAGUGAUGAAGGUCUUCGGAUCGUAAAACUCUGUUAUUAGGGAAGAACAAAUGUGUAAGUAACUAUGCACGUCUUGACGGUACCUAAUCAGAAAGCCACGGCUAACUACGUG
rnacentral:rRNA from 1 species